GCCGCGGUAGCUCAGUUGGGAGAGCGUUAGACUGAAGUUCCUUCCGGUGAACCCGGAUUGAAUUUGGAAUCUACAGGUCACCCGUUCAAGCCGGGUUCGUGGCA